rnacentral:rRNA from 1 species
GGACCUGACUGCUAUCGGAUUGAUACUAAGCCAUGCGAGUCAUUGUAGCAAUACAAGGCAUACGGCUCAGUAACGCGUAGUCAACCUAACCUAUGGACGGGAAUAACCUCGGGAAACUGAGAAUAAUGCCCGAUAGAACAUUAUGCCUGGAAUGGUUUAUGUUCCAAAUGAUUUAUCGCCGUAGGAUGGGACUGCGGCCUAUCAGUUUGUUGGUGAGGUAAUGGCCCACCAAGACUAUUACAGGUACGGGCUCUGAGAGGAGUAGCCCGGAGAUGGGUACUGAGACACGGACCCAGGCCCUAUGGGGCGCAGCAGGCGAGAAAACUUUGCAAUGUGCGAAAGCACGACAAGGUUAAUCCGAGUGAUUUCUGCUAAAGAAAUCUUUUGUUAGUCCUAGAAACACUAACGAAUAAGGGGUGGGCAAGUUCUGGUGU